AUUGAACGCUGGCGGCAGGCCUAACACAUGCAAGUCGAACGGUAACAGGAAGAGGCUUGCUUCUUUGCUGACGAGUGGCGGACGGGUGAGUAAUGUCUGGGAAACUGCCUGAUGGAGGGGGAUAACUACUGGAAACGGUAGCUAAUACCGCAUAACGUCGCAAAACCAAAGAGGGGGACCUUCGGGCCUCUUGCCAUCGGAUGUGCCCAGAUGGGAUUAGCUAGUAGGUGGGGUAACGGCUCACCUAGGCGACGAUCCCUAGCUGGUCUGAGAGGAUGACCAGCCACACUGGAACUGAGACACGGUCCAGACUCCUACGGGAGGCAGCAGUGGGGAAUAUUGCAAAAUGGGCGCAAGCCUGAUGCAGCCAUGCCGCGUGUAUGAAGAAGGCCUUCGGGUUGUAAAGUACUUUCAGCGGGGAGGAAGGGAGUAAAGUUAAUACCUUUGCUCAUUGACGUUACCCGCAGAAGAAGCACCGGCUAACUCCGU
rnacentral:rRNA from 1 species